rnacentral:rRNA from 1 species
CCUACGGGAGGCAGCAGUGGGGAAUAUUGGACAAUGGGCGAAAGCCUGAUCCAGCAAUGCCGCGUGAGUGAUGAAGGCCUUAGGGUUGUAAAGCUCUUUUACCAGGGAUGAUAAUGACAGUACCUGGAGAAUAAGCUCCGGCUAACUCCGUGCCAGCAGCCGCGGUAAUACGGAGGGAGCUAGCGUUGUUCGGAAUUACUGGGCGUAAAGCGUACGUAGGCGGUUAUUCAAGUCAGAGGUGAAAGCCUGGAGCUCAACUCCAGAACUGCCUUUGAAACUAGAUAGCUAGAAUCUUGGAGAGGUGAGUGGAAUUCCGAGUGUAGAGGUGAAAUUCGUAGAUAUUCGGAAGAACACCAGUGGCGAAGGCGACUCACUGGACAAGUAUUGACGCUGAGGUACGAAAGCGUGGGGAGCAAACAGGAUUAGAUACCCUGGUAGUCCACGCCGUAAACGAUGAUAACUAGCUGUUCGGGCUCUACGAGCUUGAGUGGCGCAGCUACGACAUUAAGUUAUUCCGUCCGUCGGGGUAGGUACGGUCGGCGAAGAAUUAAAACGUUAAAACGGUAAAGUUAGUACGGUCGUGAGACGUCGCCGACGGACGACGACGAGGGAGGUUAGG